AACGAACGCUGGCGGCAUGCCUAACACAUGCAAGUCGAACGAGACCUUCGGGUCUAGUGGCGCACGGGUGCGUAACGCGUGGGAACCUGCCCUUAGGUUCGGAAUAACUCCCCGAAAGGGGUGCUAAUACCGGAUAAUGUCUUCGGACCAAAGAUUUAUCGCCUUUGGAUGGGCCCGCGUUGGAUUAGCUAGUUGGUAGGGUAAAAGCCUACUAAGGCGACGAUCCAUAGCUGGUCUGAGAGGAUGAUCAGCCACACUGGGACUGAGACACGGCCCAGACUCCUACGGGAAGCAGCAGUGGGGAAUAUUGGACAAUGGGCGAAAGCCUGAUCCAGCAAUGCCGCGUGAGUGAUGAAGGCCUUAGGGUUGUAAAGCUCUUUUACCCGGGAUGAUAAUGGCAGUACCGGGAGAAUAAGCUCCGGCUAACUCCGUG
rnacentral:rRNA from 1 species